UACUGCGGACGGGUGAGUAACACGUGGGUAACCUACCUAUAAGACUGGGAUAACUUCGGGAAACCGGAGCUAAUACCGGAUAAUAUUUCGAACCGCAUGGUUCGAUAGUGAAAGAUGGUUUUGCUAUCACUUAUAGAUGGACCUGCGCCGUAUUAGCUAGUUGGUAAGGUAACGGCUUACCAAGGCUACGAUACGUAGCCGACCUGAGAGGGUGAUCGGCCACACUGGAACUGAGACACGGUCCAGACUCCUACGGUAGGCAGCAGCG
rnacentral:rRNA from 1 species